GCGUUUCUCCCACCUGCCCUGGCCUCUAACCCGGCUCUGAAAGAGGUAAUAGAGGACUUGAAGGCAUCACACAGAAGGUACAACUUCAAAUCCUGUUCUAAGGCUUGGGAGCAGAUCUAUGGACCCCACUCCUGAGUCAAUUUGCCGUAAAACAUGUGAUGCUGUGCUGGAGCCUAGGCAAAGCCAGGUGAGAUGUGGUUCCUGCUAUCAAGCUGACUAACAUCUAUCAGGAAGAAUAGAUCAUGGUAACUUACAUGAUAAUAGAGUUACAUGUGGGGUCUUGAAAUAAAAGUGAUCAUCUAAAUCAGACAGGGAGGUCAGGAACGUAUCCUGGAGGAAGAGAUACUCAGGCUGAGUUUUGAGAGAAAGUAAGAGUGUAGUAGUCAGACCUGACUCAGAACACUGGCCAUUGUCACCCCUCCCUCUAAGGCAAGCUGCCUGUCACCCGUGGACCAGCUGGUGUGAAGACUGCAUUGCAGCACCUGAGCCGCCAGCCC
rnacentral:lncRNA from 1 species